GCCGCGGUAAUUCCAGCUUCAAUAGCGUAUAUUAAAGUUGUUGCGGUUAAAAAGCUCGUAGUUGGUUCUGCGUGCCACGCUGUCGGUUCGCCGCCUGCCGGUGUAACUGGCAUGCCGUGGCAUGUCCUGUCGGUGGCGUUCGGGAGCCUCGUCUAGGCGACGGCCCUUGCCCAAAGCUUGGUGUCCGGAGGCCGGGGGUAUACCCGUUCGCCUACUCUAUCCUACCUAGGUGCUCUUUACCGAGUGUCGAGGUAGGCCGACACGUUUACUUUGAACAAAUUAGAGUGCUCAAAGCAGGCUGAAAUCUCUGCCUGAAUAGUGGUGCAUGGAAUAAUAAAACAGGACCUUGGUUCUAUUUUGUUGGUUCUUAGGAACACAAGGUAAUGAUCAAUACGGACAGGCGGGGGCAUUCGUAUUGCGACGUUAGAGGUGAAAUUCUUGGAUCGUCGCAAGACGCACAAGAGCGAAAGCAUUUGCCAAGUAUGUCUUGAUUGAUCAAGAACGAAAGUUAGAGGUUCGAAGGCGAUCAGAUACCGCCCUAGUUCUAACCAUAAACGAUGCCAGCCAGCGAUCCGCCGAUGUUCCUCCGAUGACUCGGCGGGGAGCUUCUUCCCGGGAAACCAAAGCUUUUGGGUUCCGGGGGAAGUAUGGUUGCAAAGCUGAAACUUAAAGGA
rnacentral:rRNA from 1 species